CAACAACAAAGUUGGCGGCCGGGCGUGGGGAGACCAUUCUCGGUUACGUCACCCGAAGGCUGUCAAGUGGAUCUAGGAGGCUAUGAAGUAACUGCGAGAGUCUGCUCAGUCUGCAGUCGACGCGUCUUCCGAAAUACCACAACAGGUUCUAUAAAAUUGUCUGGAAAACAACGUCUUAAAAUCAUAAUUUGCGGUCUACUGUAACAUCUUCGUUCAAAAAAAGACAAGAAGGCUUUAGACUUUCUGUGUCAUUUGAGUUUGUGCCAAAGCAAGAAGAGAUAUCAGUGAAGGGGCUUUAUUCAGUGUUUGCUGGGUACUUGAGAUAUAUGAAAACCGCCUAUCAUGGUAUACGGUAUAUCAUUAGACCCCAGAAUCAAUAGGCCCCAAGUUAUUGACUUCCGGGAGUACUUGAGAUAAACCGCCUGUUACGGUAUGGUAUAUCAUGAUCUAGAAAAAAAGCUUUAGCUUUCACCCAACCAUUCUGAUCUGUAAAAGGCAAAAUUGGUUGUUCCAAAGCCGAAGGGGCCACUUUAAGAGAAAUAAUGAAUCAGCGCGGGCGUGGCGAUCGCAAACUCAGAUGCUUUCACAAAAUCAACAUCUCUUGCUUUAUGUAUAAUUAUAAUAAAGUUUUAGCUUUUCAUCACAAAUCAAGAAACAUGGUAAAAAACUUAACCCCGACCAUUUGAAGUAACUUUUUUUAAUUGAAUGGGAAUCCAUUUAACAAGUUAAGUUAGAACAAACGAUGUUCAGACUUUCACACCUAGCCACAACGGCGCCAUCUCUUGUCGGACAACGGGACUGACAUUUCUCGAUGGGAGGUGAAGAGUUCUGACCGCCCAGUAUGGUAUUUGAUUCAAAAAAUGAAGUUAAAUGCUCAUUUCUCUAUACAAAAUGUACUUAACCUUCGAUUAUAUGUUACCCAAAAAAAACUGAUGAUUUUCACAAUAAAUUG